rnacentral:rRNA from 1 species
ACCGGCGCACGGGUGCGUAACGCGUAUACAAUCUACCUUUUACAGAGAGAUACCCCAGAGAAAUUUGGAAUAAUACCUCAUAAUAUUAUUGCUCGGCAUCGAGUGACAAUUAAAGUUUCGGCGGUAAAAGAUGAGUAUGCGUCCUAUUAGCUAGUUGGUAAGGUAACGGCUUACCAAGGCAACGAUAGGUAGGGGUCCUGAGAGGGAGAUCCCCCACACUGGUACUGAGACACGGACCAGACUCCUACGGGAGGCAGCAGUGAGGAAUAUUGGUCAAUGGGCGAAAGCCUGAACCAGCCAUGCCGCGUGCAGGAAGACUGCCCUAUGGGUUGUAAACUGCUUUUAUACAGGAAGAAACACUCGGACGUGUCCGAGCUUGACGGUACUGUAUGAAUAAGCACCGGCUAACUCCGUGCCAGCAGCCGCGGUAAUACGGAGGGUGCAAGCGUUAUCCGGAAUCAUUGGGUUUAAAGGGUCCGUAGGCGGAUUAAUAAGUCAGAGGUGAAAUCCCACAGCUUAACUGUGGAACUGCCUUUGAUACUGUUAGUCUUGAGUUAUAUGGAAGUAGAUAGAAUGUGUAGUGUAGCGGUGAAAUGCAUAGAUAU